rnacentral:sRNA from 1 species
UAUCUCUGAAGUGUUUCGUGAUGGAUCC